GGAAUUGCGUGAAAGAUGAUACCGGCCUAACCUAAAUUCAAGGCUCUUCCUUCUCUUCAUGGCGAAUCUUGAUUGACUUAUACUAGGAAUUGAUUUGGAGAAAGAAGAAGCAUGGCAUAAGAUAGGUGUGAACCUAUUCAUCUUCUAUGCAGCGUUCUCUAAGUAUGAUCGGGCGGUGUCGAUAUAUUCUUCCUAAGUUUUUGCCAAGCGAUAUGCUCCGG
rnacentral:lncRNA from 1 species